CCUACGGGAGGCAGCAGUGAGGAAUAUUGGUCAAUGGACGAGAGUCUGAACCAGCCAAGUAGCGUGAAGGAUGACUGCCCUAUGGGUUGUAAACUUCUUUUAUAAAGGAAUAAAACGAGGUACGUGAGCCUUUUUGCACGUACUUUAUGAUUAAGGAUCGGCCAACUCCGUGCCAGCAGCCGCGGUAAUACGGAGGGUCCGAGCGUUAUCCGGAUUUAUUGGGUUUAAAGGGAGCGUAGAUGGGUUGGUAAGUCAGUCGUGAAAGUUUGCGGCUCAACCGUAAAAUUGCAAUUGAUACUGGCAGUCUUGAGUGCAGUUGAGGUAGGUGGAAUUCGUGGUGUAGCGGUGAAAUGCUUAGAUAUCACGAAGAACCCCGAUUGCGAAGGCAGCUUACUAAACUGUAACUGACAUUGAUGCUCGAAAGUGUGGGUAUCAAACAGGAUUAGAUACCCCAGUAGUC
rnacentral:rRNA from 1 species